GUAGGUGGCAAGCGUUGUCCGGGAAUUAUUGGGGCGUAAAGCGCGCGCAGGCGGUUCUUUAAGUCUGAUGUGAAAGCCCACGGGCUCAACCGUGGAGGGUCAUUGGAAACUGGAGAACUUGAGUACAGAAGAGGAAAGCGGAAUUCCACGUGUAGCGGUGAAAUGCGUAGAGAUGUGGAGGAACACCAGUGGCGAAGGCGGCUUUCUGGUCUGUAACUGACGCUGAGGCGCGAAAGCGUGGGGAGCAAACAGGAUUAGAUACCCUGGUAGUCCACGCCGUAAACGAUGAGUGCUAAGUGUUAGGGGGUUUCCGCCCCAUAGUGCUGCAGCUAACGCAUUAAGCACUCCGCCUGGGGAGUACGGCCGCAAAGGCUG
rnacentral:rRNA from 1 species